GUCUUCUCCUCAGAAGCCUCGCUAACUGCUGGGCUGUUUUCUGCCCAGCCCUGGAGCAGAGCUGGGCUUGUGGGAGGAACCCGCUGCCUCUUCCGCGUCUUCCCUCACUUCUGGACGCUAGCUUCCCAGUGCCCAAACAGAAGCGCGUCCCGGCCCGGGCCUGGGCCCACACCUCUGGACUUCGCUCCUUGAUGAAGUCCUAGGUUCCCCUCUAAACAGAACUGGACCGUGUCCAGCUGCUGUCUGCAGGUUCCUCAAACAUUCACCCGGCAGAUGUUUUUGCAAGGGGUUCGUGUUUGGCUUUCGAGUUGGUUCUCCGGGCUCCAAGGGGAAGUCCGAGGGUGGAUCCCAGAGUUCGCGCCACCCCCACAGUCCUCUGUCCCCGGCGGGCAGGAAAAGGAAGCCCUUUGUGUCCAAGUGCUGACAGCCCAGCCUCUGCAGAAGAAGGGACGGCCCUGCCUUCCAAAGCUGCGAGGAGCCCAGAAACUCCUGUCGGAGCUUUGGGAGGGUGUGCGCUCCCAGGCAGCCUCACCGGAACUGCCUGGCUUUGGGCAUCUUUUCUCUACCAGAAAAGCGGCUGCUUCUGUGAGCAGCCGUAGGGGAAGGAAACCUGGCCCCCGCAGACCCUCCCUGCAGGAAGGCCUGGAGUCUGCGCCCUGCGCGCGUGGCACCGGCGAGGAGGCGCCGUUAGAGGGCAGCACGCGCCCUUCUCACGGCCCGCCGGCCCCGGCCGCCCCUCGAUUACAGGCUGUCGCUAACUGCCAAAGCUCGGGGCUCCCGCGUCAGGAGAAAAACAAGUUGGAGAGACCCAGGGAGGUGGAGGCGAGGCACCCCUCCGGUGGAAACGCUGCUCUCGGGAAGCCCAGGCUCGCAGCCCCCGCCUCCUCUCCCCGGAACCCGCACCUGGGCCAGGACCCGGGGGGUGCGCGGGGCUGGGAGCCCACGCGCCACGCCCCGGGCCACCGAGCUGCGGGCCUCGAGGAAAGCGGGGACAAGGCGCGCGCUGGUGCUGUCCGCGGCCGGGGCACUCGGGCUUCACAGGGAAGGACGAAACCCGAUCCCAGCAAUCGGGACAGAUCGGCGGCGCCCACCUUUGAGGUGACCCAGUUCUGAGACCAGCGCUUGGCUCAGGACGCUCGUGUAGGAAACUGGAUCCUUGUCUCAGCUGCCCUCGCUGCUCACACGGGAGUCCCAGUGUUCUUCCACUGCCUUUGGCCCCGACCUCUGAGCUUGUGCACCCUUCUCUGCUUCCUGGCAUCCAUCUCGUCUAAGCCACCAUCUUGAGCUUGGAAGUCUGUCAUGGCCUCUGAAGUUGUCUCCUCUCUAACAUUCUCACCCAUAGCUGCAUAAUCUGUUCUUUCCAUGGCCAGCAAAAUAACUCGGGGUGUGUGUGUGUGUGUGUGUGUGUGUGUGCGUGUGUAUGCCUGUGGUACUGGGGACUGAACGCAGGGCCUUCUCACUGAGCCUCAUUCCGGCUCUUUGUAUUUUUUACUUUGAAACAGGGUCUCAUUAAGUACCACCCCUUUGCUAUUUUUUAUUUUGAAACAGGCUGGGCUUGAACUUUUGAUCCCCCUGCCUCCGCUUCCCAGAG
ensembl:lncRNA